UACGGGGGGGGCAAGCGUUGUUCGGAAUUACUGGGCGUAAAGGGCUCGUAGGCGGCCAACUAAGUCAGACGUGAAAUCCCUCGGCUUAACCGGGGAACUGCGUCUGAUACUGGAUGGCUUGAGUCCGGGAGAGGGAUGCGGAAUUCCAGGUGGUAGCGGUGAAAUGCGUAGAUAUCUGGAGGAACACCGGUGGCGAAGGCGGCAUCCUGGACCGGCACGUG
rnacentral:rRNA from 1 species